rnacentral:rRNA from 1 species
GAUGAACGCUGGCGGCGUGCCUAAUACAUGCAAGUCGAGCGAACAGACGAGGAGCUUGCUCCUCUGACGUUAGCGGCGGACGGGUGAGUAACACGUGGAUAACCUACCUAUAAGACUGGGAUAACUUCGGGAAACCGGAGCUAAUACCGGAUAAUAUAUUGAACCGCAUGGUUCAAUAGUGAAAGACGGUUUUGCUGUCACUUAUAGAUGGAUCCGCGCCGCAUUAGCUAGUUGGUAAGGUAACGGCUUACCAAGGCGACGAUGCGUAGCCGACCUGAGAGGGUGAUCGGCCACACUGGAACUGAGACACGGUCCAGACUCCUACGGGAGGCAGCAGUAGGGAAUCUUACGCAAUGGGCGAAAGCCUGACGGAGCAACGCCGCGUGAGUGAUGAAGGUCUUCGGAUCGUAAAACUCUGUUAUUAGGGAAGAACGAAUGUGUAAGUAACUAUGCACGUCUUGACGGUACCUAAUCAGAAAGCCACGGCUAACUACGUG